GGAGGCAUAGCUCAGCUGGGAGAGCGCUUGCCUUACAAGCAAGAUGUCAUAGGUUCAAGUCCUAUUGUCUCCACCA
rnacentral:tRNA from 1 species